AGUGAACGCUGGCGGUAGGCCUAACACAUGCAAGUCGAACGGCAGCACAGUAAGAGCUUGCUCUUACGGGUGGCGAGUGGCGGACGGGUGAGGAAUACAUCGGAAUCUACUUUUUCGUGGGGGAUAACGUAGGGAAACUUACGCUAAUACCGCAUACGACCUACGGGUGAAAGCAGUGGAUCUUCGGACCUUGCGCGAUUGAAUGAGCCGAUGUCGGAUUAGCUAGUUGGCGGGGUAAAGGCCCACCAAGGCGACGAUCCGUAGCUGGUCUGAGAGGAUGAUCAGCCACACUGGAACUGAGACACGGUCCAGACUCCUACGGGAGGCAGCAGUGGGGAAUAUUGGACAAUGGGCGCAAGCCUGAUCCAGCAAUACCGCGUGGGUGAAGAAGGCCUUCGGGUUGUAAAGCCCUUUUGUUGGGAAAGAAAAGCAGCAGCUUAAUACCAAGCUGUUCUGACGGUACCCAAAGAAUAAGCACCGGCUAACUUCGUG
rnacentral:rRNA from 1 species